rnacentral:rRNA from 1 species
AACGAACGCUGGCGGCAUGCCUAACACAUGCAAGUCGAACGAGACCUUCGGGUCUAGUGUCGCACGGGUUCGUAACGCGUGGGAACCUGCCCUUAGGUUCGGAAUAACUCUCCGAAAGGGGUGCUAAUACCGGAUAAUGUCUUCGGACCAAAGAUUUAUCGCCUUUGGAUGGGCCCGCGUUGGAUUAGCUAGUUGGUAGGGUAAAAGCCUACCAAGGCGACGAUCCAUAGCUGGUCUGAGAGGAUGAUCAGCCACACUGGGACUGAGACACGGCCCAGACUCCUACGGGAGGCAGCAGUGGGGAAUAUUGGACAAUGGGCGAAAGCCUGAUCCAGCAAUGCCGCGUGAGUGAUGAAGGCAGUAGGGUUGUAAAGCUCUUUUAACCGGGAUGAUAAUGACAGUACCGGGAGAAUAAGCUCCGGCUAACUCCGUG